CUAAGUGGCGGACGGGUGAGUAAUGUAUAGUUAAUCUGCCCUUUAGAGGGGGAUAACAGUUGGAAACGACUGCUAAUACCCCAUACUCCUUUUACAUUAAUUGUAAUUGGGAAACGUUUUUUCGCUAAAGGAUGAGACUAUAUGGUAUCAGGUAGUUGGUGGGGUAAGAGCCUACCAAGCCAAUGACGCCUAGCUGGUCUGAGAGGAUGAUCAGCCACACUGGAACUGAGACACGGUCCAG
rnacentral:rRNA from 1 species